rnacentral:rRNA from 1 species
AUGAACGCUAGCUACAGGCUUAACACAUGCAAGUCGAGGGGCAGCAUGGUCUUAGCUUGCUAAGGCCGAUGGCGACCGGCGCACGGGUGAGUAACACGUAUCCAACCUGCCGUCUACUCUUGGACAGCCUUCUGAAAGGAAGAUUAAUACAAGAUGGCAUCAUGAGUCCGCAUGUUCACAUGAUUAAAGGUAUUCCGGUAGACGAUGGGGAUGCGUUCCAUUAGAUAGUAGGCGGGGUAACGGCCCACCUAGUCUUCGAUGGAUAGGGGUUCUGAGAGGAAGGUCCCCCACAUUGGAACUGAGACACGGUCCAAACUCCUACGGGAGGCAGCAGUGAGGAAUAUUGGUCAAUGGGCGAGAGCCUGAACCAGCCAAGUAGCGUGAAGGAUGACUGCCCUAUGGGUUGUAAACUUCUUUUAUAAAGGAAUAAAGUCGGGUAUGCAUACCCGUUUGCAUGUACUUUAUGAAUAAGGAUCGGCUAACUCCGUGCCAGCAGCCGCGGUAAUACGGAGGAUCCGAGCGUUAUCCGGAUUUAUUGGGUUUAAAGGGAGCGUAGAUGGAUGUUUAAGUCAGUUGUGAAAGUUUGCGGCUCAACCGUAAAAUUGCAGUUGAUACUGGAUAUCUUGAGUGCAGUUGAGGCAGGCGGAAUUCGUGGUGUAGCGGUGAAAUGCUUAGAUAUCACGAAGAACUCCGAUUGCGAAGGCAGCCUGCUAAGCUGCAACUGACAUUGAGGCUCGAAAGUGUGGGUAUCAAACAGGAUUAGAUACCCUGGUAGUCCACACGGUAAACGAUGAAUACUCGCUGUUUGCGAUAUACGGCAAGCGGCCAAGCGAAAGCGUUAAGUAUUCCACCUGGGGAGUACGCCGGCAACGGUGAAACUCAAAGGAAUUGACGGGGGCCCGCACAAGCGGAGGAACAUGUGGUUUAAUUCGAUGAUACGCGAGGAACCUUACCCGGGCUUAAAUUGCAGAUGAAUUACGGUGAAAGCCGUAAGCCGCAAGGCAUCUGUGAAGGUGCUGCAUGGUUGUCGUCAGCUCGUGCCGUGAGGUGUCGGCUUAAGUGCCAUAACGAGCGCAACCCUUGUUGUCAGUUACUAACAGGUUCCGCUGAGGACUCUGACAAGACUGCCAUCGUAAGAUGUGAGGAAGGUGGGGAUGACGUCAAAUCAGCACGGCCCUUACGUCCGGGGCUACACACGUGUUACAAUGGGGGGUACAGAGGGCCGCUACCACGCGAGUGGAUGCCAAUCCCCAAAACCUCUCCCAGUUCGGACUGGAGUCUGCAACCCGACUCCACGAAGCUGGAUUCGCUAGUAAUCGCGCAUCAGCCACGGCGCGGUGAAUACGUUCCCGGGCCUUGUACACACCGCCCGUCAAGCCAUGGGAGCCGGGGGUACCUGAAGUGCGUAACCGCGAGGAGCGCCCUAGGGUAAAACUGGUGACUGGGGCU